GCUGAGCAUGGUGGCGCAUGCCUGUAAUCCAAUCCCAGUGGCUCGGGAGGCUGAGGCAGGAGGAUCACCAGUUCAAAGCCAGCCUCAGCAAAAGCGAGGCACUAAACAAGUCAGUGAGACCCUGUCUCUA
rnacentral:sRNA from 1 species